GCGGGGUUUAACGGCGGCAUGCCGUUCUUCUAGCCACCUAGUGUCCCAUCAUGGUCGGUUCGGUAAUCUCAAAGCACGUCGCCAGGCAUCGCGAAAGCCGUCGGUUGACAGAAUCCGCGUGGGAGCUAAAAGACAGAAAUCGAAGCAGUGAAAUUGGGAGGUAUAAAAGGGGACCCAAUUCAGCUCCACAUCGAACCUCCAACGAAAGAAGCGUCGCCGUUCAUUUGCCCGCUUCACUCCCCUUCCCCGUCGCCUCCUUUCCCCUGCAAACCCCCCGCGCCGGGACCUGAGGAAGCCAUAACGAGCGCUUCGUGAGCGGACCCUGGCGGACACAGUGGAUGUGGUGGAGUCCGAGCACAGCCGCGGGAAUGAACCUGUGCGCCGACGACAGCGCUUCCAUGAUGGAGGCCCUCAUCGCCACCGCCGCCGACCUUCAGGGAUGCCCUUGGGCGGUCGUUUCUCCUCCUCCUC
rnacentral:lncRNA from 1 species